UUUUAUGGAGAGUUUGAUCCUGGCUCAGGAUGAACGCUGGCGGCGUGCCUAAUACAUGCAAGUCGAGCGAACAGACAAGGAGCUUGCUCCUUUGACGUUAGCGGCGGACGGGUGAGUAACACGUGGGUAACCUACCUAUAAGACUGGGAUAACUUCGGGAAACCGGAGCUAAUACCGGAUAAUAUUUCGAACCGCAUGGUUCGAUAGUGAAAGAUGGUUUUGCUAUCACUUAUAGAUGGACCCGCGCCGUAUUAGCUAGUUGGUAAGGUAACGGCUUACCAAGGCGACGAUACGUAGCCGACCUGAGAGGGUGAUCGGCCACACUGGAACUGAGACACGGUCCAGACUCCUACGGGAGGCAGCAGUAGGGAAUCUUCCGCAAUGGGCGAAAGCCUGACGGAGCAACGCCGCGUGAGUGAUGAAGGUCUUCGGAUCGUAAAACUCUGUUAUUAGGGAAGAACAUACGUGUAAGUAACUAUGCACGUCUUGACGGUACCUAAUCAGAAAGCCACGGCUAACUACGUGCCAGCAGCCGCGGUAA
rnacentral:rRNA from 1 species